rnacentral:rRNA from 1 species
AAGGUUAAGCCUCACGGUUCAUUAGUACCGGUUAGCUCAACGCAUCGCUGCGCUUACACACCCGGCCUAUCAACGUCGUCGUCUUCAACGUUCCUUCAGGACUCUCAAGGAGUCAGGGAGAACUCAUCUCGGGGCAAGUUUCGUGCUUAGAUGCUUUCAGCACUUAUCUCUUCCGCAUUUAGCUACCGGGCAGUGCCAUUGGCAUGACAACCCGAACACCAGUGAUGCGUCCACUCCGGUCCUCUCGUACUAGGAGCAGCCCCCCUCAGUUCUCCAGCGCCCACGGCAGAUAGGGACCGAACUGUCUCACGACGUUCUAAACCCAGCUCGCGUACCACUUUAAAUGGCGAACAGCCAUACCCUUGGGACCUACUUCAGCCCCAGGAUGUGAUGAGCCGACAUCGAGGUGCCAAACACCGCCGUCGAUAUGAACUCUUGGGCGGUAUCAGCCUGUUAUCCCCGGAGUACCUUUUAUCCGUUGAGCGAUGGCCCUUCCAUUCAGAACCACCGGAUCACUAUGACCUGCUUUCGCACCUGCUCGCGCCGUCACGCUCGCAGUCAAGCUGGCUUAUGCCAUUGCACUAACCUCCUGAUGUCCGACCAGGAUUAGCCAACCUUCGUGCUCCUCCGUUACUCUUUAGGAGGAGACCGCCCCAGUCAAACUACCCACCAGACACUGUCCGCAACCCGGAUUACGGGUCAACGUUAGAACAUCAAACAUUAAAGGGUGGUAUUUCAAGGUCGGCUCCAUGCAGACUGGCGUCCACACUUCAAAGCCUCCCACCUAUCCUACACAUCAAGGCUCAAUGUUCAGUGUCAAGCUAUAGUAAAGGUUCACGGGGUCUUUCCGUCUUGCCGCGGGUACACUGCAUCUUCACAGCGAGUUCAAUUUCACUGAGUCUCGGGUGGAGACAGCCUGGCCAUCAUUACGCCAUUCGUGCAGGUCGGAACUUACCCGACAAGGAAUUUCGCUACCUUAGGACCGUUAUAGUUACGGCCGCCGUUUACCGGGGCUUCGAUCAAGAGCUUCGCUUGCGCUAACCCCAUCAAUUAACCUUCCGGCACCGGGCAGGCGUCACACCGUAUACGUCCACUUUCGUGUUUGCACAGUGCUGUGUUUUUAAUAAACAGUUGCAGCCAGCUGGUAUCUUCGACUGAUUUCAGCUCCAUCCGCGAGGGACUUCACCUACAUAUCAGCGUGCCUUCUCCCGAAGUUACGGCACCAUUUUGCCUAGUUCCUUCACCCGAGUUCUCUCAAGCGCCUUGGUAUUCUCUACCUGACCACCUGUGUCGGUUUGGGUACGAUUUGAUGUUACCUGAUGCUUAGAGGCUUUUCCUGGAAGCAGGGCAUUUGUUGCUUCAGCACCGUAGUGCCUCGUCAUCACGCCUCAGCCUUGAUUUUCCGGAUUUGCCUGGAAAACCAGCCUACACGCUUAAACCGGGACAACCGUCGCCCGGCCAACAUAGCCUUCUCCGUCCCCCCUUCGCAGUAACACCAAGUACAGGAAUAUUAACCUGUUUCCCAUCGACUACGCCUUUCGGCCUCGCCUUAGGGGUCGACUCGCCCUGCCCCGAUUAACGUUGGACAGGAACCCUUGGUCUUCCGGCGAGCGGGCUUUUCACCCGCUUUAUCGUUACUUAUGUCAGCAUUCGCACUUCUGAUACCUCCAGCAUGCCUCACAGUACACCUUCACAGGCUUACAGAACGCUCCCCUACCCAACAACGCAUCAGCGUCGCUGCCGCAGCUUCGGUGCAUGGUUUAGCCCCGUUACAUCUUCCGCGCAGGCCGACUCGACCAGUGAGCUAUUACGCUUUCUUUAAAUGAUGGCUGCUUCUAAGCCAACAUCCUGGCUGUCUGGGCCUUCCCACAUCGUUUCCCACUUAACCAUGACUUUGGGACCUUAGCUGGCGGUCUGGGUUGUUUCCCUCUUCACGACGGACGUUAGCACCCGCCGUGUGUCUCCCGUGAUAACAUUCUCCGGUAUUCGCAGUUUGCAUCGGGUUGGUAAGUCGGGAUGACCCCCUUGCCGAAACAGUGCUCUACCCCCGGAGAUGAAUUCACGAGGCGCUACCUAAAUAGCUUUCGGGGAGAACCAGCUAUCUCCCGGUUUGAUUGGCCUUUCACCCCCAGCCACAAGUCAUCCGCUAAUUUUUCAACAUUAGUCGGUUCGGUCCUCCAGUUAGUGUUACCCAACCUUCAACCUGCCCAUGGCUAGAUCACCGGGUUUCGGGUCUAUACCCUGCAACUUAACGCCCAGUUAAGACUCGGUUUCCCUUCGGCUCCCCUAUUCGGUUAACCUUGCUACAGAAUAUAAGUCGCUGACCCAUUAUACAAAAGGUACGCAGUCACACGCCUAAGCGUGCUCCCACUGCUUGUACGUACACGGUUUCAGGUUCUUUUUCACUCCCCUCGCCGGGGUUCUUUUCGCCUUUCCCUCACGGUACUGGUUCACUAUCGGUCAGUCAGGAGUAUUUAGCCUUGGAGGAUGGUCCCCCCAUAUUCAGACAGGAUACCACGUGUCCCGCCCUACUCAUCGAGCUCACAGCAUGUGCAUUUUUGUGUACGGGGCUGUCACCCUGUAUCGCGCGCCUUUCCAGACGCUUCCACUAACACACACACUGAUUCAGGCUCUGGGCUGCUCCCCGUUCGCUCGCCGCUACUGGGGGAAUCUCGGUUGAUUUCUUUUCCUCGGGGUACUUAGAUGUUUCAGUUCCCCCGGUUCGCCUCAUUAACCUAUGGAUUCAGUUAAUGAUAGUGUGACGAAUCACACUGGGUUUCCCCAUUCGGAAAUCGCCGGUUAUAACGGUUCAUAUCACCUUACCGACGCUUAUCGCAGAUUAGCACGUCCUUCAUCGCCUCUGACUGCCAGGGCAUCCACCGUGUACGCUUAGUCGCUUAA